rnacentral:pre_miRNA from 1 species
UUGGCUUAAACUAUUGUGGAUCUACACUUUGAAAAUUGAAUCCACAGAAAGGGAUGGAAAAUACAUUAAUUUCAUCCAA